rnacentral:siRNA from 1 species
GAAGCAACUUAAAGCAGGUUCCCU